rnacentral:tRNA from 1 species
GGCCCUAUCGUCUAAUGGUUAGGACAUCAGGUUCUCAUCCUGGGAAUCCGGGUUCGAUUCCCGGUGGGGUCA